rnacentral:lncRNA from 1 species
GUGCAUCAUACUUGUUUUCCUUCAAAGUUUUCCUGAAUAUUAUUAUUUUUGUGUGCAACUUAUCUUAGAGUGACCAUGUAUGUUAGUAUACUCAAGUAACUGAAUGUAUUCACGUUAACUCUGUUAAGUACUAGCAGAUUCAAAAAUUUAGUUCAUAGAAUUAUUGGUAGGAGCAGUAAACGAGUCAAACAAAAAUAUCCAUAUGCAAAUGUCGGUCUAUGUUUGAUUCAAUUUGGUUUGCUCUGCUACUGAAGCUCCUAUCCGGUCUAAUGUUUUUUGUUUUACCUCUUUUUCUGUUGCUAGGAAAGUGAUGAGAAGAUGUCGAUAAUGCCUACUGGGGACAUUCAAAUCAACACAACAUAAAAAUUUCUGAACCUAUGUCUCAUAGGAGAGUGGAAUGAACUCCAUUGUUGUCAGAUGUGUCAUUGUUUUAUUUUGCAAUCCUGUCCGUUCUUGCUAUAUUCCUAUGUAAGGAAAUGUAUUUAUGAGAUGAUUUAUUGUGUUAUGUAAACCUGAGAGAUGUAUUAUGUGAUGUUAUAUGAUGGAUGAUUUUAAUUUGAGUUGGAGUAUUCUUGAUUUGAAUAUGAAAUAGUGUUGGAUUUAAUAUUGGACAAAUAAUUGGGUUGCAAAGGUCCAACAAAUAGAAAUGAAACCAAGUUCAGGAAUAAAAAGUUGCUGAAUUCAAAAAUGAAAAAGGCCAAAACUCAAACUGGACCAAAUGUAUUUGGGCACUAAAAGGCAAGGGCCCAAAUUAUAAUGAUAAAAAAAAUUCGAAAAAACAUACUAAAGUGGCUGUAAAUAGGCUAAGGCCCAAAAGAAGUCCAAUAAGAAAAAGCCCAAAAAAAUAAAAUCAGCCCAUGUGAUCAAUUGAAAUGGGUUGGGCUGAUUUCAACCAUGAUGUUUUGAUUUCGUCGUAAUUUUGCCACGUAGGACUGCCACGUAGGACUGGGUUUGAUUGCCAACGACGAAUUAGGAUCGUCGUAAAGGUCACGACGAUAGAGGAAUCGUCGUAAAAAUUACGACGAUUUUGAUCAAAACGUCGCUGCUGUUCAUUUCUGACGCUCCGUUUUUUAUGCUUGGUUUUUCGUCGUGAGAUCGUCGUAAAUUAAAAACCGUGAAUGUUAUAUUACCUCAAAUAUGUCCUUGAUUCGGCCAUUGCGGUACAAAUCAAGGAGGAUGUUAUAUUACCUCAAAUAUGUCCUUGAUUCGGCCNNNNNNNNNNNNNNNNNNNNNNNNNNNNNNNNNNNNNNNNNNNNNNNNNNNNNNNNNNNNNNNNNNNNNNNNNNNNNNNNNNNNNNNNNNNNNNNNNNNNCCCGACCAGCCAACCUGAGUGCAAGAGCGAGCAUGGCCUCGUCCCGUUCCUCCCAGGAGCCGCUCCUCCCGAGCUCCUGCGCGCCCGAGACCGACGCCAUGAGCCGCUUGCGAGCUUCACCGACGAGAAGGCACCCGGGUCGCCCCUGCUCCUUCUCUCUUCUCUCUUCCUUCUAUUCCUCUCUCUGGUUCUCUCUCUGUCUGUCAUCUCUCUCUUUCAUUUCUUAUCUACAUACCUCCAUGGCCGCCGCCCCCAGGAGCUCGCCCUCGGCCGGUCUCGCGACACCAGCCGCCUCCACUACCGGGAAUGGAACCGCAACGCCAAGGCCGUUUGGAUCCGACUCGAGCUCGCCUCCCUGCCCCAUCCAUGUCGCCCCGUCGCCCACCCUGGAACACCCCUGUUGGUGUCUCUGUUCUUCAGGGAAACGAGCAGAGCCAACACCGCAUCCAGCUGCUCGCCCCGUCGCUGUUGGUUCACGUUCGUAGCUCGACGUCAGCCUUCUCCUCGUAUCCAAGCACCGGGUCUGGAGGCCCCCGAUCUCUCUCGCCCGUUCACAGUACGGCCAUGGCCGUCGGCAUGUUGUUUCCCCCUCUGUGAGAACCUCCAUCCCGAUCUAAAAUUCAGUCUUUUGUUGUAGAUCCGUUCUGUAAGUACAUCUUGUUUAUAAUGUGUGCUAGUUCUGUCAACGCAUAGGCCGCUAGCCGAGUUGGCUAGCGCAGCCACUCCAGUCCCAGCGAGACGCGGGAUCAAAUCCCAACGAGCGCAGUUUUUCUUUUGUUUCAUUUUGUUGUAUCCCUCGUGUGCUGCCUGUUGCUACUUGCUCAAUUAAGUUUGAGCUGCCGCACAACGCAUUAACCUGUCUGGUGGGACUGGUCAACGCAGCACCCCAGCAUGCAUGGGGUCUUGGGUUCAAAUCCCAGCUGUGCUACCCCAUAUUAUUUUACCCUGUUUUUUUGUUGUUGUUGGCACUAGGGAUUUCAAGAAUUUCAAAAGACCAUUGAUUUUGAAACGUUUAUAACUUUAAAACGCUGCCUCUUAUGCAAAAUUCGUAGAUAAGUAAAACGUGUAGAAUUUCGCGUAGAUUAAUAUUUCCAACUCUCAUGCAUAAUAAAAACUGUUUAGUGUGCUGUUUGCAUCGGUUGCGUGUCGACGUGUUGAAAACGGUUUAGGUCGUAACUAUUUGUCCGUAGCUCCGUUGGAGAUCUGCCAUAUAUGUAAUUGGACCAUAACGAUGAGUAGAAUCACGUGAACCACUUUGUUUUUCCGUCUAACAAACCUAAAAUGUGAUUAGGACAAAUCUGGACAGAAUUAGAAUUUAACGCGUGGGGUCAUUUCGGAGAUGCUAUAUGACGUUUCCGGCCUCAUUUAAAAUGCCUAGCUAGGUAGAUUAAUUUGUGCUUCACCCUCGUGCCAUGUUUAACAACAUUUAAUAUUGCCGUGUAUCAACUUGGGAUAGAACUAAAUAAUUAAUGUGGAGUUUCGACAAUAUGCAACCCGUUGCAUAUUGAACUUCACUUAAUGUGUAGUGUCUGUUUGUGUGAAUUGUUAUGCCGUGACUUGCAUGUAUCCCGCUGCUCAUGCAUCAUAUGUGUUGUGCAUCGUGUGGUGAAUCUCGUGUGUUGAUUCUAGUUUCCGGUUUGCCUCGUCUCGAUAGAGUUCCGCAAGCGUGUUGGAUUGGGAGGACCCGUUCGACUACAUCAGUUCGUCUGCUUCACGGAGUCAUUUUUCUUCCAAGCGGGAUCUCAGGCAAGAUGACCAUUUCCCCAGAUACCAUUACUAUCAUUUCCAUGUUAGUUUUAUCGCUGCUAUCGUUUAUGUCUCGCUGCCUACCACAUGUUUACAUAUCAGCCUCUCAACAAUGCCAUGAUUACCUUCAACCUGUUCGACCUAGCAAACCACUGAUUGGCUAUGUUACUGCUUGCUUAACCAUGUUGUUAGCGUUGCUAGUUGCAGGUGCAGAUGCUUCCAUGUGAUAACAUGGGUUCCUUGUUAUAUCACCAUAUAUUAAAUGCUAAUUAAUUUAAUUCACCUAUAUACUUGGUAAAAGAUGGAAGGCUCGGCCUUUCUAGCCUGGUGUUUUGUUCCACCUUUGCCCCCUUAGUUUUCGGCUACCGGUGUUAUGUUCCAUAAACGAGCGCUCCUAACACGAUCGGGGUUGUAACGGGGACCCCCUUGAUAAUUCGUUUUAGAUUAAAGCUGGUCUCGCAAGGCCCAACUUUGGUACUACAUUUGCAUAACAACUAGUGAACUGCAUAGGGAGUAAUUAACCCGAGGAUAAUUUAAUCAACCCCCAGGCCAGUACUCCUCAUGAGUGUUGNNNNNNNNNNNNNNNNNNNNNNNNNNNNNNNNNNNNNNNNNNNNNNNNNNNNNNNNNNNNNNNNNNNNNNNNNNNNNNNNNNNNNNNNNNNNNNNNNNNNAGAUGAGAUGAACUCCGGAAUAAAAUGACAGAAUGAUCUUGCAAAAUUGGAGAGGAUUGAGUUCACUUGGAGAGAAACACACAGGUUGAAAAAGAAUUGAUACGAUGACUCCAGUUGAAAAGAAUUGAUAAGACGAUCUGAUUGAGCAAAGAAUUUGCAUUCAGAUAAAAAUAUGAGAACACGGAUUAGGAAAGAUCUGAAAUUACCACUUGACAUCGAAGAAACACGAAUUACCACAUUCAACAAAACAAAGGGUGAGGCUUAUGAAACAAGCCAGAACAAACUCAUGAGAAAGAUUUCGUCCGAUAUUUCGUGGACAGGAUCGCACGGGCUCAAUUUUACAGUAGCCAUCAAGUGCAAGGCAGUGCACCCGACAUACGAAACGUCCCCGAGUCGUAGCAAGCUACAAGGACUCUUUAAGACACAACGUGUACCACUGUAAGUCGACCAUCGACAAACGGAUCCACUAGAUGUCGAACCCCAACCUAACAUCAUGCAUUUGUUGGAAGAUUGUCCUAUAAGCAACUACUUGAAUUCCCACCUAAGAAUUUCCUAAAUAUUUGGUCAUGCAAUCUGGUACAUGGAUACAAGGAGUAAUAUCACACAACUCCUAUACUAACCCGUCACCUGUAUCACAUCCGUCAACACACAACCAGAAUCUCGGACCUUCAUCUACAACAGACCCUCGUGAUCACAAUGAUACAAAGUAUGGCAGUACUCCCGAACAAUCGGCACCAGUACUUGGGACAUCGAGGUUAUCUCGCCAAUACUAGUAUUGAAGAAAUUACGAACAUCCUUCGUUCUGAGAUACUAAGAAAUCUGAAUGAUAACGAUGUGCUCAAGAAUCCCCUGGAGCUUAACUCCCCUGAAACUCAAAGCAGAUAGGAGGCACCAAGACAGAACUCCGUCACAUUGACAUCAUAUAGAUUUCAAAAAUAUCCGCGUGAUCCUAAAAAAAAUUGAGUGAGAAGAGGAGUAGAAUUAAAUUAUUACGUCAAGAUUCCUCACCAGAGCAUAGAAGAGGAGAAAAAAGAAUCCUACUCUCCGAUAUAUAACUAGACUCAAAGCAGUUUUUCACUAGACUCGACUCGGCCAAGUUCGAUCAAUUAAGGGGGCUCCUAGGUCGGUACUGCUCUGAUACCAACUUGUCACGCCCAAGACGCGACCCUAUCCUCAAUUUGGCACGAAGGCCUCAUCAGGGAUAGAAGCGCAUCUCGUCGUGUCGCAAGAAUGAAUAUCGUUACAAGUACAUGUACUGAAAGAAGAGAUAUAUAUAUAGAGAGAGAAUUGGCUUACACUUGCCACAAGCUAUAUCAGAGUCACAUCAGUACAUUACAUAAUCAUCAAGAGUAAGAGAGGGUCCGACUACGGACGAAAACAAACGAGAAAAGAAGAACGACGUCCAUCCUUGCUGUCCCAGGCUGCCGGCCUGGAACCCGUCCUAGAUCGAUGAAGAAGAAGAAGAAGCAACUCCAAAUGAACAAUCAACGCGCUCGCGUCAAGUAACCUUUACAUGUACCUGCAACUGGUGUUGUAGUAAUCUGUGAGCCACAGGGGACUCAGCAAUCUCAUUUCCAAAGGUAUCAAGACUAGCAAAGAUUAAUGGGUGAGGCAUGGUUCAGUGGUGACGUAGCAACAGCGGCUAAGCAUAUUUUUGGUGGCUAAACUUACGAGUACAAGAAAUAAGAGGGGAAGAUCUACGCAUAACGGACGUGAGCUACUGAUGAUCAAAUGAAUGAUCCAGAACACCUACCUAUGUCAUACAUAACCCCACCGUGUCCUCGAUCGGAGAAGGAACUCACGAAAGAGACAGUCACGGUUACGCACACAGUUGGCAUAUUUUAAUUAAGUUAACUUCAAGUUAUCUAGAACCAGUGUUAAACAAAGUUUCCACGUUGCCACAUAACCGCGGGCACGGCUUUCCGAAAAGAUUUAACCCUGCAGGGGUGCUCCAACUAGUCCAUCACAAAUUACCACAAGCCGCAUAGAAAUCCUCAAUCACGAAGUUCGCGAUCUCGUCGGAUUCCCUAGUGGCAAACCUCAACUCUGAGAUUACCCAAAGCAUCACCGGAAUCCCGAUGCACAAGAUAUUCGUCAAAGGUAAAACUAAUCCAGCAAGGCCACCCGGUGUGUCAACGAACCCGAUUGGAGCCAUGUAUCUCGUUCUCGGGACACACCGUCUAUGCAAAGUGGACGGGAACCAAACCUCGAGUUGCCCCGUGGUGGCAUUGCCGACUGCUAGGUGGGUGGACCAACACUCAUGAGGAGUACUGGCCUGGGGGUUGAUUAAAUUAUCCUCAGGUUAAUUAUUCCCUAUGGAGUUCAUUAGUUGUUAGGCAAAUGUAGUACCAAAGUUGGGCCUUGCGAGACCAGCUUUAAUCAAAAACGAAUUAUCAAGGGAGUCCCCAUAACAACCCCGAUCGUGUUAGGAGCACUCGUUUAUGGAACAUAACACCGGUAGCCGAAAACUAUGGGGGCAAAGGUGGAACAAAACACCAGGCUAGAAAGGCCGAGCCUUCCAUCUUUUACCAAGUAUAUAGGUGAAUUAAAUUAAUUAGCAUUUAAUAUAUGGUGAUAUAACAAGGAACCCAUGUUAUCACAUGGAAGCAUCUGCACCUGCAACUAGCAACGCUAACAACAUGGUUAAGCAAGCAGUAACAUAGCCAAUCAGUGGUUUGCUAGGUCGAACAGGUUGAAGGUAAUCAUGGCAUUGUUGAGAGGCUGAUAUGUAAACAUGUGGUAGGCAGCAAGACAUAAACGAUAGCAGCGAUAAAACUAACAUGGCAAUGAUAGUAAUGGUAUCUAGGGAAAUGGUCAUCUUGCGUGAGAUCCCGCUUGGAAGAAGAAUGACUCCGUGAAGCAGACGAACCGAUGUAGUCGAACGGGUCCUCACAAUCCGACACGCUUGCGGAACUCUAUCGAGACGAGGCAAACCGGAAACAAGAAUCAACACACGAGAUUCACCACACGAUGCACAACACAUAUGAUGCAUGAGCAGCGGGAUACAUGCAAGUCACGGCAUGACAAUUCAGUCAAACAGACACUACACAUUAAGUGAAGUUCAAUAUGGAACGGGUUGCAUAUUGACGAAACUCCACGUUAAUUAUUUAGUUCUAUCCCGAGUUGAUACACGCCAAUAUUAAAUGUUGUUAAACAUGGCACGAGGGUGAAGCACAAAUUAACCUAUCUAGCUAGGCAUUUUAAAUGAGGCCGGAAACGUCAUAUAGCAUCUCCGAAAUGAACCCACGCGUUAAAUUCUAAUUCUGUCCAGAUUUGUCCUAAUCACAUUUUAGGUUUGUUAGACUGCAAAACAAAGUGGUUGACAUGAUUCUACUCAUCGUUCUGGUCCAGUUACAUAUAUGGCACAUCUCCAACGGAGCUACGGACAAAUAGCUACGAACUAAACCGCUUUCAACACGUCGACACACAACCAAUGCAAACCACACACUAAACAGUUCUUAUUAUGCAUGAGAGUUGGAAAUAUUAAUCUACGUGAAAUUCUACACAUUUUACUUAUCUACAAAUUUUGGAUAGGAGGCAGUGUUUAAAAGUUAUAAGCGUUUCAAAAUCAAUGGUCUUUUGAAAUUCUUAAAAUCCCUAGUGCCUACAACAACAACAAAAAAACAGGGUAAAAUAAUAUGGGGUAGCAAAGCUGGGAUUUGAACCCAAGACCCCAUGCAUGCUGGGGUGCUGGGUUGACCAGACCCACCUGCCAGGUUAAUGCGCUAUGCGGCAGCUCAAACUUAAUUGAGCAAGUAGCAACAGGCAGCACACCAGGGAUGCAACAAAAUGAAACAAAAGAAAAACUGCGCUCGUUGGGAUUUGAUCCCGGGUCUUGCUGGGACUGGAGUGGCUGCGCUAGCCAACUCGGCUAGCGGCCUUUGCGUUGACAGAACUAGCACACAUUAUAAACAAGAUGUACUUACAGAAUGGAUCUACAACAAAAGACUGAAUUUUACAUCGGGAUGGAGGUUCUCACAGAGGGGGAAACAACAGGUCGAUGGCCAUGGCCGUACUGUGAAUGGGCAGAGAGAUGGGGGCCCUCCAGACCCGGUGCCUAGGGACGAGGAGAAGGCCGACGUCGCGCUAUGAACGCGAACCAACAGUGACGGGGCGAGCAGCUGGACGCGGUGUUGGCUCUGCUCGUUUCCCUGAAGAACAAAGACACCAGGAGGGGUGUUCCAGGGUGGGCGACGGGGCGACAUGGAUGGGGAAGGGAGGCGAGCUCGAGUCGGAUCCAAACGGCCUUGGCGUUGCGGUUCCAUUCCCGAUGGUGGAGGCAGCUGGUGUCGCGAGACCGACCGAGGGCGAGCUCCUUGGGGCGGCGGCCAUGGAGGUAUGUAGAUAAGAAAUGAAAGAGAGAGAUGAGAGACAGAGAGAGAACCAGAGAGAGGAAUAGAAGGAAGAGAGAAGAGAGAAGGAUCAGGGGCGACCCGGGUGCCUGCUCAUCGGUGAAGCUCGCAGGCGGCUCAUGGCGUCGGUCUCGGGCGCGCGGGAGCUCGGGAGGAGCGGCUCCUCGGAGGCACGGGACGAGGCCAUGCUCGCUCUUGCACUCAGGUUGGCUGGUCGGGGACGGACUGCUCGCACGGCAUGCGGGCGACGGAUGCGUCCGGCGGCUCAGCUCUCGCGUAGGGUGAGGUCGAGGUGCAGGGAGCUUUGUAUCGAGCAGCCUACGGGGUUGGCUGCAGAUUGGAUCUGGGGAUCCCAAGGUGGGAGAUGCUAUGCUUGCCUGAUGGGAAAAAAAUUAGGUGGGGUGGCGGCGGCUCGAUGGGACAAAGCUCCUAGAUUUUAGGGUUUUCCAAAAUUGACUAGGGAACGUCUAUAUAUAGUAGGUUAGCUAGGAUUAGGGGUUUUGGACCCUCCGAUUAAAUCGGACGGUCAGAAAUAGCUGGGUUAGGGAGUCCAGUUGACAAACCGAAGACGGUUUGCAGCAAAACCGGGUUGAUCUGGACCCAACGGUCAUGAACACAGGUCGGGUUCCGGAAGGUUUUCGGACUAGGCUACGCGCAGGGUCGGUGCAUUGUGCAGAGGGGCUAGGCGGAGAUGAGAGGGAAAACGGGCGACCCGGCAACGAGUUUAAAAUACCGAAACGUCCGACAAUUGUCCGACUANNNNNNNNNNNNNNNNNNNNNNNNNNNNNNNNNNNNNNNNNNNNNNNNNNNNNNNNNNNNNNNNNNNNNNNNNNNNNNNNNNNNNNNNNNNNNNNNNNNNAAUCUUUAUUAUUCAUGUACAUAUUAUUAUUCAUGUUAGUUUUUUUUAUGUUGUACUAAUUUCUUUUAAUCUUUAUCAUGGCAGGUCACCAGGUGUGGAAAGAUGGUGGGCGCUGGUGCAGAUCGCUCGACGGGUUCUUCCCAGGCGCCCCGCACGAGGGGUGGUACUUCCCUUCCACCCCUAUCUCUCCGUAGAGCCUUGGCAGACAGUCUGUCGACACCACCCGUGGGUUCUUAUUCGUCGGCGGCAUUGCCCACUAGGAGAGGUGCUGGUCGGGUAGGGAAGAAGGGGAAGGGUACAGGGAGAGGUGGUGGCCGCGGAAGAUCCAGGAGGACUCUUGAGCUGUCCUCGCCACCACCACCAGCUCAUUCACCCGAGCAUAGGACUACUANNNNNNNNNNGCAUAGGACUACUAUGGUCGACCCGUUUGCGGAGGAGGCUACGGGGACUCCGUUCCAGGAGCCUGUUGUUGACGGGCAUUCGUCCCAUGAGACUCCGGUCCAGGAGCAGCCUCGGGUCGAGGUGCAUUCGACCCAGAAGCAGCCGGAGGAGACUACGGUUCCGGAGGCUUCACCCGACGUGGAGAGGCCCGGAUGGGAUACCUGGCCGGAUCNNNNNNNNNNNNNNNNNNNNNNNNUCGAGUUGCGGGAUUGGACCGAGGGUCCGGGUGGCUCAGGGGGCGGGGAUGGCGGGGAUGAGCUUACGGAUAGUGAGGGCGAUGUGCAGGUGGACGGGGCCACCGUGUACAAGCGUGGUAGUACACGUCUCCCGGUCGCGCCGGCUACCCGCGAGCAGAGGCCGGUGGUUAAACCUGAAGGAGAUAGGUAAGUACAUUUACUCUUUUUUUAGCUUUUGCCUUCAAGUUUGUUCAAAUAUCUAAUGCGUUGACCUUAUCAUACUACAGGGGAUGGGUACACCCUCUUGGAGUCUGCAGGCCGAACUGCGUCCUUGGUGUGCUUUGCCGGACAAAUUUCCCGGGGUUUGUCACGUUGCCUGGUGAGGGUCAGGUUCCUACACUAGGAUUUUCCUGGGAGCACUACCAGGCUGCGCAGGCCCCGCCAGAGGAGAUUAUAGAUGGUGUCUUGUGCCACACGAGGGUCGAGAUGGUGAUCAAGAGCUUUUGGGUAAAUUAUCCUUUUACAAAAUCUAAAAUUAACAAUAUAGCUAAUUAUUGUACUAAUCUGUUUUCACGUUUGAUUGCAGACCUUCGAUAGGUGUGAGGAUGGAUAUGAGGAGGAGGCGGCCAGGGUUCUCGAGGUCGAGUGUAGGCGGUUACUACAGAACUUACGCCACGAGGCUCGGCCGCAGACUAUUCGAGAUUACUACGCCACGCGUGGUAUUAAGAAGCAGAAGAAGGAUUGCCGCGGAAAGUUUCUGAAGAAUGAGCAAUACAUGAAGGUAAUUACCUAUUCUUAAGUCCUUCUACGUAGUUUUCAUGAUUUCAUUCAUAGGCGUAGCGCUGAAAAUUCUUUCUAAUAACUUACAGGUGCCCCCGAGAUGGUGUGUGGAUAAGAUGGAUUGUUGGGAGGCGUUAGUUGAUGAGUGGUGCACACGCAGCUGGAGAGCCGUCCACGAGAAUGCGAAGGAUCGGCGUACCCAAAUGGUUGGUGUGCCACACCAUCAAGGCAGCGCCAACUUACUUCAGUUUGGUCAAAACUGGGUAUGUGAUUUGUUGGGGAACGUUGCAUGGGAAACAAAAAAUUUCCUACGCGCAUCAAGACCUAUCAGAGUGAUGUCCAUCUACGAGAGGGGAUUUCAGAUCUACGUACCCUUGUAGAUCGCACAGCAGAAGCGUUAAGAAUCGCGGUUGAUGUAGUGGAACGUCCUCACGUCCCUCGAUCCGCCCCGCGAACCGUCCCAAGAACCGUCCCGCGAUCCGUCCCACGAUCCGCUCCGAUCUAGUGCCGAAUGGACGGCACCUCCGCGUUCAGCACACGUACAGCUCGACGAUGAUCUCGGCCUUCUUGAUCCAGCAAGAGAGAUAGAGAGGUAGAUGAUUUCUUCGGCAGCGUGACGACGCUUCGGAGUUUGGUGGUGAUCUAAUCUCAGCAGGGCUCCGCCCGAGCUCCAUAGAAACGGGGCUCCGCCCGAGCUCCGCAGAAACGCGAUCUAGAGGAAAAACCGUGGAGGUAUGUGGUCGGGCUGCCGUGGCAAAAGUUGUCUCAAAUCAGCCCUAAUAGCUCCAUAUAUAUAGGAGGAGGGGAGGGGAGGCUUGCCUUGAGGCUCAAGGAGCCCCAAGGGCUGCGCCACCAAGGAGGAGUUGGAGUCCUCCUCCAAUCCUAGUACAACUAGGAUUGGAAGGAGGAGUCCUUCUCUUCCUUCCCAUCUUUCCCUUUUUUUUUCUCUUUCUCUUCUUUUGGUUUUUCUUUCUCUCUUGCACAAGACAGCCUUGGGCUGACCCCACCUACUUGGUGCGCAAACAGCAAGGUCCUUGGGCCCUCCCGGGUGGGUGGUCCCCCCUCCCGGUGAAGAUCCGGAACCCAUUCGUCAUUCCCGGUACAUUACCGGUAAUGCCCAAAAACCUUCCGGUAACCAAAUGAAGUCAUCUUAUAUAUCAAUCUUCGUUUCCGAACCAUUCCGGAAACCCUCGUGACGUCCGUGAUCUCAUCCGGGACUCCGAACAACAUUCGGUAACCAACCAUAUAACUCAAAUACGCAUAAAACAACGUCGAACCUUAAGUGUGCAGACCCUGCGGGUUCGAGAACUAUGUAGACAUGACCCGAGUGACUCCUCGGUCAAUAUCCAAUAGCGGGACCUGGAUGCCCAUAUUGGAUCCUACAUAUUCUACGAAGAUCUUAUCGUUUGAACCUCAGUGCCAAGGAUUCAUAUAAUCCCGUAUGUCAUUCCCUUUGUCCUUCGGUAUGUUACUUGCCCAAGAUUCGAUCGUCAGUAUCCGCAUACCUAUUUCAAUCUCGUUUACUGGCAAGUCUCUUUACUCGUUCCGUAAUACAAGAUCUCGCAACUUACACUAAGUCACAUUUCUUACAAGGCUUGUGUGUGAUGUUGUAUUACCUUGUGGGCCCCGGAGAUACGUCUCCGUCACACAGAGUGACAAAUCCCAGUCUCGAUCCAUACUAACUCAACGAACAGCUUUGGAGAUACCUGUAGAGCAUCUUCAUAGUCACCCAGUUACGUUGCGAUGUUUGAUACACACAAAGCAUUCCUCCGGUGUCAGUGAGUUAUAUAAUCUCAUGGUCAUAGGAACAAAUACUUGACACGCAGAAAACAGUAGCAACAAAAUGACACGAUCAACAUGCUACGUCUAUUAGUUUGGGUCUAGUCCAUCACAUGAUUCUCCUAAUGAUGUGAUCCCGUUAUCAAGUGACAACACUUGCCUAUGGUGAGGAAACCUUGACCAUCUUUGAUCAACGAGCUAGUCAACUAGAGGCUUACUAGGGACAGUGUUUUGUCU